rnacentral:rRNA from 1 species
GACGAACGCUGGCGGCGUGCUUAACACAUGCAAGUCGAACGGUAAGGCCCUUCGGGGUACACGAGUGGCGAACGGGUGAGUAACACGUGGGUGAUCUGCCCCGCACUUCGGGAUAAGCCUGGGAAACUGGGUCUAAUACCGGAUAGGACCACUGCCUGCAUGGGUGGUGGUGGAAAGCUUUUGCGGUGUGGGAUGGGCCCGCGGCCUAUCAGCUUGGUGGUGGGGUGAUGGCCUACCAAGGCGACCACGGGUAGCCGGCCUGAGAGGGUGACCGGCCACACUGGGACUGAGAUACGGCCCAGACUCCUACGGGAGGCAGCAGUGGGGAAUAUUGCACAAUGGGCGCAAGCCUGAUGCAGCGACGCCGCGUGGGGGAUGACGGCCUUCGGGUUGUAAACCUCUUUCAGCACCGACGAAGCGCAAGUGACGGUAGGUGCAGAAGAAGGACCGGCCAACUACGUGCCAGCCGCCGCCGUAA